ACCGAAUAGAUACCCUGGUAGUCCACGCCCUAAACGAUGCGAACUGGAUGUUGGGUACAUUACGGUACUCAGUGUCGAAAGCUAAACGCGUUAAGUUCGCCGCCUGGGGAGUACGGUCGCAAGACUGAAACUCAAAGGAAUUGACGGGGGCCCGCACAAGCGGUGGAGUAUGUGGUUUAAUUCGAUGCAACGCGAAGAACCUUACCUGGCCUUGACAUCUGUCGAAUCCUGCAGAGAUGCGGGAGUGCCGCAAGGAACGACAAGACAGGUGCUGCAUGGCUGUCGUCAGCUCGUGUCGUGAGAUGUUGGGUUAAGUCCCGCAACGAGCGCAACCCUUGUCCCUAGUUGCCAGCACGUAAUGGUGGGAACUCUAGGGAGACUGCCGGUGACAAACCGGAGGAAGGUGGGGAUGACGUCAAGUCCUCAUGGCCCUUA
rnacentral:rRNA from 1 species